UACGAAGGGGACUAGCGUUGUUCGGAAUCACUGGGCGUAAAGCGCACGUAGGCGGAUGUGUCAGUCAGGGGUGAAAUCCCGGGGCUCAACCUCGGAACUGCCUUUGAUACAGCACGUCUCGAGUCCGGAAGAGGUGGGUGGAAUUCCUAGUGUAGAGGUGAAAUUCGUAGAUAUUAGGAAGAACACCGAUGGCGAAGGCGGCCCACUGGUCCGGUACUGACGCUGAGGUGCGAAAGCGUGGGGAGCAAACAGG
rnacentral:rRNA from 1 species